rnacentral:rRNA from 1 species
GGGUUGUGAGGUUAAGCGACUAAGCGUACACGGUGGAUGCCCUGGCAGUCAGAGGCGAUGAAGGGCGUGCUAAUCUGCGAUAAGCGCCGGUAAGGUGAUAUGAACCGUUAUAACCGGCGAUACCCGAAUGGGGAAACCCAGUGUGUUUCGACACACUAUCAUUAACUGAAUCCAUAGGUUAAUGAGGCGAACCGGGGGAACUGAAACAUCUAAGUACCCCGAGGAAAAGAAAUCAACCGAGAUUCCCCCAGUAGCGGCGAGCGAACGGGGAGGAGCCCAGAGCCUGAAUCAGCAUGUGUGUUAGUGGAAGCGUCUGGAAAGGCGCGCGAUACAGGGUGACAGCCCCGUACACAAAAGCGCAUGUGCUGUGAGCUCGAUGAGUAGGGCGGGACACGUGGUAUCCUGUCUGAAUAUGGGGGGACCAUCCUCCAAGGCUAAAUACUCCUGACUGACCGAUAGUGAACCAGUACCGUGAGGGAAAGGCGAAAAGAACCCCGGCGAGGGGAGUGAAAAAGAACCUGAAACCGUGUACGUACAAGCAGUGGGAGCACCCUUUGGGGUGUGACUGCGUACCUUUUGUAUAAUGGGUCAGCGACUUAUAUUCUGUAGCAAGGUUAACCGAAUAGGGGAGCCGGAGGGAAACCGAGUCUUAACCGGGCGUUAAGUUGCAGGGUAUAGACCCGAAACCCGGUGAUCUAGCCAUGGGCAGGUUGAAGGUUGGGUAACACUAACUGGAGGACCGAACCGACUAAUGUUGAAAAAUUAGCGGAUGACCUGUGGCUGGGGGUGAAAGGCCAAUCAAACCGGGAGAUAGCUGGUUCUCCCCGAAAGCUAUUUAGGUAGCGCCUCGUGAAUUCAUCUCCGGGGGUAGAGCACUGUUUCGGCUAGGGGGCCAUCCCGGCUUACCAACCCGAUGCAAACUGCGAAUACCGGAGAAUGUUAUCACGGGAGACACACGGCGGGUGCUAACGUCCGUCGUGAAGAGGGAAACAACCCAGACCGCCAGCUAAGGUCCCAAAGUCAUGGUUAAGUGGGAAACGAUGUGGGAAGGCCCAGACAGCCAGGAUGUUGGCUUAGAAGCAGCCAUCAUUUAAAGAAAGCGUAAUAGCUCACUGGUCGAGUCGGCCUGCGCGGAAGAUGUAACGGGGCUAAACCAUGCACCGAAGCUGCGGCAGCGACGCUGAUGCGUUGUUGGGUAGGGGAGCGUUCUGUAAGCCUGCGAAGGUGGCCUGUGAGGGUUGCUGGAGGUAUCAGAAGUGCGAAUGCUGACAUAAGUAACGAUAAAGCGGGUGAAAAGCCCGCUCGCCGGAAGACCAAGGGUUCCUGUCCAACGUUAAUCGGGGCAGGGUGAGUCGACCCCUAAGGCGAGGCCGAAAGGCGUAGUCGAUGGGAAACGGGUUAAUAUUCCCGUACUUGGUGUUACUGCGAAGGGGGGACGGAGAAGGCUAUGUUGGCCGGGCGACGGUUGUCCCGGUUUAAGCGUGUAGGUGUGUGUUCCAGGUAAAUCCGGUUCACUUUAACACUGAGGCGUGAUGACGAGGCACUACGGUGCUGAAGCAACAAAUGCCCUGCUUCCAGGAAAAGCCUCUAAGCAUCAGGUAACAUCAAAUCGUACCCCAAACCGACACAGGUGGUCAGGUAGAGAAUACCAAGGCGCUUGAGAGAACUCGGGUGAAGGAACUAGGCAAAAUGGUGCCGUAACUUCGGGAGAAGGCACGCUGACACGUAGGUGAAGUGAUUUACUCAUGGAGCUGAAGUCAGUCGAAGAUACCAGCUGGCUGCAACUGUUUAUUAAAAACACAGCACUGUGCAAACACGAAAGUGGACGUAUACGGUGUGACGCCUGCCCGGUGCCGGAAGGUUAAUUGAUGGGGUCAGCGCAAGCGAAGCUCCUGAUCGAAGCCCCGGUAAACGGCGGCCGUAACUAUAACGGUCCUAAGGUAGCGAAAUUCCUUGUCGGGUAAGUUCCGACCUGCACGAAUGGCGUAAUGAUGGCCAGGCUGUCUCCACCCGAGACUCAGUGAAAUUGAACUCGCUGUGAAGAUGCAGUGUACCCGCGGCAAGACGGAAAGACCCCGUGAACCUUUACUAUAGCUUGACACUGAACAUUGAGCCUUGAUGUGUAGGAUAGGUGGGAGGCUUUGAAGUGUGGACGCCAGUCUGCAUGGAGCCGGCCUUGAAAUACCACCCUUUAAUGUUUGAUGUUCUAACGUGGACCCGUGAUCCGGGUUGCGGACAGUGUCUGGUGGGUAGUUUGACUGGGGCGGUCUCCUCCUAAAGAGUAACGGAGGAGCACGAAGGUUGGCUAAUCCUGGUCGGACAUCAGGAGGUUAGUGCAAUGGCAUAAGCCAGCUUGACUGCGAGCGUGACGGCGCGAGCAGGUGCGAAAGCAGGUCAUAGUGAUCCGGUGGUUCUGAAUGGAAGGGCCAUCGCUCAACGGAUAAAAGGUACUCCGGGGAUAACAGGCUGAUACCGCCCAAGAGUUCAUAUCGACGGCGGUGUUUGGCACCUCGAUGUCGGCUCAUCACAUCCUGGGGCUGAAGUAGGUCCCAAGGGUAUGGCUGUUCGCCAUUUAAAGUGGUACGCGAGCUGGGUUUAGAACGUCGUGAGACAGUUCGGUCCCUAUCUGCCGUGGGCGCUGGAGAACUGAGGGGGGCUGCUCCUAGUACGAGAGGACCGGAGUGGACGCAUCACUGGUGUUCGGGUUGUCAUGCCAAUGGCACUGCCCGGUAGCUAAAUGCGGAAGAGAUAAGUGCUGAAAGCAUCUAAGCACGAAACUUGCCCCGAGAUGAGUUCUCCCUGAGACUUAGAGUCUCCUGAAGGAACGUUGAAGACGACGACGUUGAUAGGCCGGGUGUGUAAGCGCAGCGAUGCGUUGAGCUAACCGGUACUAAUGAACCGUGAGGCUUAACCUUACA